GAUGAACGCUGGCGGCGUGCUUAACACAUGCAAGUCGAACGGAAAGGCCCAAGCUUGCUUGGGUGCUCGAGUGGCGAACGGGUGAGUAACACGUGGGUGAUCUGCCCUGCACUUUGGGAUAAGCCUGGGAAACUGGGUCUAAUACCGGAUAGGACCAUCGUUUAGUGUCGGUGGUGGAAAGUUUUUCGGUGUGGGAUGAGCUCGCGGCCUAUCAGCUUGUUGGUGGGGUAAUGGCCUACCAAGGCGUCGACGGGUAGCCGGCCUGAGAGGGUGUACGGCCACAUUGGGACUGAGAUACGGCCCAGACGCCUACGGGAGGCAGCAGUGGGGAAUAUUGCACAAUGGGCGCAAGCCUGAUGCAGCGACGCCGCGUGGGGGAUGACGGCCUUCGGGUUGUAAACUCCUUUCGCCAAGAACGAAGCGUUUUGUGACGGUACUUGGAGAAGAAGCACCGGCUAACUACGUG
rnacentral:rRNA from 1 species